CUAGCCUCCACCAAUUGCCACGCCCCCAAUCGCUCCCCAAUCCCCACUCCUCUGCCCGUCUCCUCCCCUUCCUCUCCCCUCGCGCCCCCAUCCCGCCGCCACCUCCAUCUCCUGCGCCUCUCUCCCGAUCACCUCCUGCGCGGGCGACGGGCGGCGCGGCCGACAUCGGCGCCAGCGACGAGGGCAGCGCGGGCGACCUCCGCAGGAGCCGACAUGGCGGGGCGGCUUGGGGAGGAGGAGGAGGAGGAGGUCAAGCGCGCAGAGGAGCGAGGGAGGACGCCGGCCGCCAGAGGAACGACCACGAUGAUGUCCAGUGGGAGGGCCGCAACGACCUGCUCUACUUCGACCUCGACCCCGAGCGAAGCGACGAGGUACUCGGUCCUCCUCCUGACCACGAGCACCAAACUGAGGUAGAAGAUUGCUCUUGUGUGGGGCUAGGUUGAAGGGGAGAUGAUGAUGUAUGGCUAGAUGGUGAAUCAGAGCACUCUUUGGUGCUGGAGAGUUCUGAAUAUCAACAGUUCUAAAGAUUUUCAAGAUAAGGGACACCUUGUGUCUCUGAGAUAUGGAGGUGUACAUGUAAGUCUAAUGCUGCUUGAGAUAUGACUUUUGAUGUUCGUGGUGUAACCAAGCAAAAGAAGUUGGUCAUAAAGAAGUGGAAUUUUGAUGCGCAAUGGGAGAGAAGGUGGCUGGGUCAAUGUAACCGUCAAAUGGAUUAAUCCCCUUUUGUGUUGUUUUUUAUUGCAAGAUCUGGAGCCGAAUAGAUUUUUGGGGCUAUGGUCGUGUUCAGAAAUCCUUCUCCUCCAGCCGUCUCUGCUCCCCAUUAGGUUUAUGUAGAACUACAAUCAUGUCUACUUACGAAAGAAAAGUGACCACUGCAGAAUUUUAUGGUAACCAGCCCAUGUCCAGUUCUACAACCAAAUGGGGAUACUAUGGUCGCUUGUGUUUAAGAACAGGAACCAUACUGAAAAGGUAGUUUGGUGGAGGAAUGGACACUGUCUGAUGCGGUGCUCCAAUCUCGAUGAGUACCAUGCUGACGACAACGACACCGACACCGACACCGCCAAUGACACCAUCAUGAUCCUUGGUGACACCUGAAUACGCGGAUGCAGAUUCUUACUAUUUAGCAAAAUCUUCAAUUGUUGACAGAGCGAGACUUGAGUGACACACUUGAGUCUGGAGAUGCCACCAUCGGUGAUUCUUUCCAUUGACAAAGAGCAGGGAAGGGUGUUGUCCACUUCAAUCUUCUAUUUUACUUGGACUGGUGGCUGACGCGGGAGAGAGCAGGUGGCGUUGGAGGAGGAAGAGGAGCAAGCCGAGGACGAGGCAAUCGCCUCGCCGUGGUAGCAGCCGGUGGCGUGUGCGCCCACAGAAAACCGCCGCUAUCAUCGUCCCUCGCCGCCCAACAACGACGCAGAGAGAUGGAGGAGGAGGUGGUCCUCGUCGCUCCUCGGUGCCCGGGCUUCUCCGCUGUGCACACUGCCGCCAUCCUCACCCUCAUGGAGCAUGAGAAGCCGCCAAAACCUACCGGAGGGAAACGCCUAGGUGAGGCUCCUCUACCACAUCCUAUGCGCGUGCCUCUUCAUGGGGCUCAAACCUGAAGGUCCUUCCUCAUCUUCUCUCUUUAUCUCCUUUUCUCUCUGUUUCUCUCUAUCAUGGGAUCCCCAUCUUCCUGCAGCAGCUCGGGAAGGAGGAAUACAAAUGUGCCUUGCUAGGUAAUAAUAUGUUCCCUGUGAUUUAGGAGGCAAAGGGAUCGGUAUACACCAGUUUGUCCACAUCAUUUAUAUGCUGGGCUCAUUCGUGCUAGAGCCAGCCGAAUGAGCUCAAAUGGGUAUGGCUUGGUUUUAAUACGAAGCGUGAACUCCUGUGAAAUUUUACUAUGAAACUGUAUAUGUCCUUAAAAUGCAAUAGAAUUUGCAUUCAUGUGAUUUUUUACUCAAAUAUUUGUUGGCUUUGCAGUUUUCUCUAUGAAUCAUGUACUCGAAUGGAAAACCGGAGGUUUCACAUUGUCUCCUUGCUUGCGAGGUACGUCUUCUUACUUCACCUAUGAUUGUUAGGUUGCAUUCCUAUUUGUUUCCUAUUUGUUCAUUUGUUGAUUCGAUUAUCUCCUGUUGAGGCACCAGGCCAUGGUGGCAUAUAUAUUAUGGUUAUGAAAAUCCCCAUACCUAUGAAUUUUAUAUCGUAAAUUUAAUUUAGAAUGGAUAAAAAGGUGACAUACCAGGUAUCGUUCAUAGGUUAGUUAUAAAGAAACGAAAAGAAAGCAAUCAUUAAUCCUUAUAUAUUCCUAUCCUUUUAUUCUUUUCCACCAUUCUCCCCUUUUAUUGUUCACGUUAUGCUGGAAGAAAACUUUUCAAUACAGAAUAGAUGAUUAUUAUGCAUAUUUUGGGCUUGAAGUUCUUUUGUUUUGCCAAACCUUGGUGCAUAUAUCCAUUGGUUUGGAUGUUCUCUAUACCUACAAUGUUUUGUCAUCUGACCUCUCUCGAGUCUUGACACAGUUCAUAUCACACUUCCAGUUCCAGUCAUGUAAAUUGGUAAGUACCAUUUGUAAAAUGUAUACAAUUUAUUUUUUCACCGAUCCUUCAAUUACUUCAUUUUUCAUAGCCGAGGACAUAUAAACUAUCUAGAAGCUCCAUUUAGUUUAAUCAUAUAAACUAACCGGAAGCUCCAUUUGAUUUAAUUAUACAUGUACGAUUUAGAGGAUUUCAGUGGCAACCUUGACCUACACAACUUGACACAUACCAAGACUUGAAGCCAACUAGAGUUAGAUUUUUGUGGGCACUUUGCUAAAUUGAUUAAGUUCCUUUGAUAAGAACUGAAGCAAUUCCAAGUCAGCAUUAGAAAUACCAGUCAGAUGAGUAACUAAAAUAAGCAAUAGAUCAAACUUCAUCGUCCUUUUAAGAUGGUAUCUUGCAUCUACAGAAUAAGUUGAGUCAGAGGGUAAUGCACUGGACGGGAUAGUGUGCACAUCAGUCCAAUGGCCCAUGUCAUUUUUUAACCUUCCAUUUGUUGAUCUCCUAUUCCGGAGUCAAAAUUACCACUCCAGGGAUGCCCUUGCAGCCAAAUGUUUAUUUAAUAAAUGAUGCGUGUAUUUUGUUUGGUUGACUGCGGUUGUUCAUGGUCUGUAGUUGUGCAUUGACCUUUCUGAUUCAAUGUAACAAUUCAACCAUGUACUUCUUAGUUUACAUCGUAAGGAAUUAUUAAGGCAGCUCUAGAGUUUGUCAUGCUCCAUCAUUUUGAAUUAUAUACUGUCAGUCUUCAGCUCAUGUGUUUACAGAAGAAGAACAACCAUAGGUCCUUUAUGUUCUUCAGUAAGUAUAUUGAUCUAUCUUCCUACAUAUUUUUUUAGUGAAUCAUUGCUGCAUAAUACUGGCAACAUAUAUGGUUUGUAUGAACUGAUAAAAGAUUGUGAAAUUAUCUUUCUGCUCUAGGUUAGUGUCUCAGUGAACUGCACAUUAGUGUGUCGUGGAAGAGCAAUGUGCUUUGCUCUAAAUUUGUACGGCUGAUGCUAUGUGAAAUAUAUUUCUCUACAUUCUAUAUGUCUACUUAUUUUCUGAGUACUCUACUUAUUUUCCAUGUUAUAUUAAUGAUGUUUAAGUGUUUUACCAUCCAUUUAUGAGCUGAUAAUUUUUCCGUGUAUCCAGUAAACUGAAACGGACAAGUGUUUGUGCUUCAUUUGAUGUUUCCUUAUCAGUAUGCUUAAUGUAGUGUUUUCUUAUCAUCAUAUUUAAUGUAGUAGUGUUUUGUUAUCAUCAUAUUUAACGUAGGUACUUAGUCCAAGGGAGUUUCCAAAAUUUUGUCAAGUUAGCUUGCCACUACGAACACCGGAACUCACUCUGUGAACGUGCAAUGGUGCUUCUUUGGAAACCUCAUAUUAGCAAUGUCACUGGCUUCUUAUCUGAUUGCUGCAAGAAGGCUCUUUUUAUAGUGUCAUGUUGUUUCUAGGGAAAAUCUGAGCAUACUCUUCACAACAUAUAGAGGAAAUGGCUGUUGCAUGGUCUAAGGGAAUUGACCCUGGUGAAAUUUUUAUUUCGUGUAGAUGACAUGCUUGCUGAAAUUAUAAUUUUUUUUCACCGGUCGGUGAGAGUCUAUACAUUUAAAACAGACCAGUUCACCAUUUUUUCCCAUCAUUUUACAAAACAAUAGUACAAGUGAAUUAGUGUAAGCUACUUUGUCUUAGAACAAGGCUAUUUCUACUGUAAUAAAUUUCUCUGUU